UCAAAUCCUUCACUUUCAACUGCAGAUCCUGGGCGUUAUAGCACCGUUCCUGACUGGUCGAAAUCCACUGUCUCUAUUGAAAUUUCCUCCACCACAGGCCCUGGGACUUCCACCACCACUCCUGAAUUGUCUAGAUCCACUGUCUCUUCAGAAAGUACCGCCACCUCAAGCCCUGGGAGUUCUAGCACCAUUUCUAACUGGCCUGAAUCCACUGCCUCUUCAGAAAGUACCUCCACAACAAGUCCUGGGAGUUAUAGUACCAUUUCUGACCAGCCUGAAUCCACUGUUUCCUCAGAAAGUUCUCCCACCCCAGGCCCUGGGAGUUCUAGCACCGUUUCUGAGAGGUCUGGAUCCACUGACUCUUCAGAAAGUACCUCCACCAAAGGCGCUGGGAGUUCUAGCACCAUCUCUGACCAGCCUGAAUCCACUCUUUCUUCAGAAAGUACCUUCACCGCAGGCCCUGGGAGUUCUAGCACCGUUUCUGGCAGGUCUGAAUCUACCUUCUCUUUAGAAAGUUCUCCCACCACAGGCCCUGGGAGUUCUAGCACCGUUACUGACUGGUCUGAAUCUACCUUCUCCUCAGAAAGUUCUCCCACCACAGGCCCUGGGCGUUCUAGCACCAUUUCUGAAAGGUCUGAAUCUACCUUCUCUUCAGAAAGUUCUCCUACCACAGGCCCUGGGAGUUCUACCGCCAUUUCUGAUUGGUUUAACUACACAUUCUCUUCUGAGGUUUUACUGCCUACAGGCACUGACAUUUCAAUAUCCCCAUCAAGCAUUGGCAAGACAUUAACCAG
rnacentral:lncRNA from 1 species